rnacentral:rRNA from 1 species
AAUAGAUACCCAGGUAGUCCACGCCGUAAACGAUGAAUGCUAGGUGUUAGGGGUUUCGAUACCCUUGGUGCCGAAGUUAACACAUUAAGCAUUCCGCCUGGGGAGUACGGCCGCAAGGCUGAAACUCAAAGGAAUUGACGGGGACCCGGCACAAGCAGUGGAGUAUGUGGUUUAAUUCGAAGCAACGCGAAGAACCUUACCAGGUCUUGACAUCCCCCUGCCGGUCUAGAGAUAGGCCUUUCCUUCGGGACAGGGGAGACAGGUGGUGCAUGGUUGUCGUCAGCUCGUGUCGUGAGAUGUUGGGUUAAGUCCCGCAACGAGCGCAACCCUUGACUUUAGUUGCCAGCAAGUAAGGUUGGGCACUCUAGAGUGACUGCCGGUGACAAACCGGAGGAAGGUGGGGAUGACGUCAAAUCAUCAUGCCCCUUAUGACCUGGGCUACACACGUACUACAAUGGCCGGUACAACGGGAAGCGAAGCCGCGAGGUGGAGCGAAUCCUAGAAAAGCCGGUCUCAGUUCGGAUUGCAGGCUGCAACUCGCCUGC